UGCGUAGGCGGACUAAUAAGUCAGUGGUGAAAUCCUGCAGCUUAACUGCAGAACUGCCGUUGAUACUGUUAGUCUUGAGUUUGGUUAAGGUAGGCGGAAUGUGUAAUGUAGCGGUGAAAUGCUUAGAUAUUACACAGAACACCGAUUGCGAAGGCAGCUUACUGGACCGACACUGACGCUGAGGCACGAAAGCGUGGGGAUCGAACAGGAUUAGAUACCCUGGUAGUCC
rnacentral:rRNA from 1 species